rnacentral:rRNA from 1 species
GACGAACGCUGGCGGCGUGCUUAACACAUGCAAGUCGAACGGAAAGGCCCCGCUUUCGUGGGGUGCUCGAGUGGCGCACGGGUGAGUAACACGUGAGUAACCUGCCCUUGACUUUGGGAUAACUUCAGGAAACUCGGUCUAAUACCGGAUAGGAGCUCCUGCUUCAUGGUGGGGGUUGGCAAUUUUUAGCGGUUGGGGAUGGACUCGCGGGUUAUCACCUUGCUGGUGGUGUAGUGGCUUACUAAGGCUUUGACGGGUAGCCGGCCUGCGAGGGUGACCGGCCACAUUGGGGCUGAGAUGCGGCCCAUACUCCUACGGGGGGCAGCAGUGAGGAAUAGUGCACAGUGGGCGGAAGCCUGAUGCAGCAACGCCGCGUGCGUGAUGACGGGCAUCGGGUUGUAAACCGCUUUCGCCUGUGACGAAGCGUGAGUGACGGUAAUGGGUAAAGAAGCACCGGCUAACUACGUG